UUGUAACAAUAAAAUUUCAUUCUCCUUAAUAAAGUAAUAAAUUUAAGAAUGCAAGGCGUAGGUUACGCCUUCUACCGCCCUCUGUCGGAAAUCGGCAGGAAGUCAUCGACCGUGAGCUGUCUGAUCCUGGAUCGGCCUUCCUCGCCAUCUAGCGUGGGAUAGCUGCACUCUUGUAUUCCUCUAUGGACUUACGUGGAUCAUAGUUGCCAUGUUGAAAAAUAGAAGUAAAUCGUCAUCGGGCGUUUGCCUUCCUUCCUUUUAUUCGUAACCAGACUUAAUUAUGGGUUUUUUUUAAGCUCCGCGUUAAUCGCGAAGAGUUUAGUAUUAUAUUUUAUUGUUGACUUAAUUUCCAUUGAACGUCCGGAGCCGGCUGUUUGCGGUGCGAGCCGAUUUAGGCUUGGCAACACUAGUCCCGUCCAAAAUGGCGAAUGAGAUGGGAUUUCUUUUUGCCGGAGAGAGAGUUGAAGGGAUAUCGUUGGCCCAGGCCAAAAUCGGGCGCAAUCGCCCGUUUGAGUGAGUUUCAAUAGUGAUUCGGUUGUGUAUUUCUUUUUAGUUGGUUAGUUUCUAACGAAGCGUUGCAUAUUUUCCAGCCCCGGAAUCGGACGUGAAUAAAACCAUGUUCUGAUGGUGAUAGGCGGCGCCAAGCGUGCCCGGAUGUCGAAAUGGGUGCAAUUUUGCCUUCUGCAGGCCCUUUCUCCAUCAACGGUAAGUCAAACCUUCUUUAAUCCUGGUUGGCAGCCAACUUGUUCCGUAGGUUAUGUAUAUUUUCCAAAUUAACAGUAGGUCGUUUCACGGAACGCGUUGUCGUUCGAAAUUUAAAUUCCAAGGUAGCCCCCGUGUCCUGCGGGCGGUAUAAACCCCCCUUACGGGCACCAUUUUUAGGAAUUUUACUUACAGACUGGUAUAACCAUUCCAGGGUUCACGCCGCGUCGCCUAAACCUCGCGCCGGCCGCGAGAGAUCCCCUGGUAUCCCGGUAACUUGUGGGCAGCAGAUUGCUGCUGUUCUACCUACUCCCGACGUUUCACCCCAAGGCUGCUGACGUGGCAGUUGUGGUGUUUCGAGGUCAGAUCUUUCCACGUUUACUUAUUGACUGAAUGAACCGGCCUUUCGGUUCUGGCGCCCUUCCGUGUAACUACCUUAAUAUAUAUUGACCGCUGUAUCCGUUUCUACCAGUAAUGAUAAUUUAGAGCUCGCUGACCCACGUUUGUUCCCUCAAAAUAUAAACUCAACAUUAUUGUUCUCGUGAGCUAGCCCUCGGCAAACAAUUGUUACCGUGUAUCUAGGAUAACAAAUUAGCAUAAACAAUUUAGAUUUUUUUUCCUGAAUUCAAUAAAUACCUGGUUCCUCUUCAACUGUUGUUUGAUUUUUUUUUUAUUUUGGCGUUAGCUAAAGGAAACCCCCCAUAAAAUUAAAUAACGUAACAGUGUCAGCCCAUCGUGGGGCGUUAUAUCAGCGAGCCUCUUUAGUCACAUUGUUAGCUAGAGGAAUUUCUGGUAGAAACGGUGCGGCUUGUAUAAUUGUAAUUAAGUAGGUACUUUUGUUUUUUUAAUUCUAAGUAAUUGUGUGUCAUUGUAGCUGCAAGUACCUCUUAAUAGUUUGGCGGAAUUAUUUCCGAUAAUAUUUUCAGUGUUUGGAAGGAUAGUUUUUUUUUAAAUGCUUACUACUAAUUACAUACAUUAUUACAUUUGUAUAAAUAAUUUUAUUCUUUUAUGGGUUACCGGGACCCAGUGUGGAGUUGUAACAAUUUUAUUUCUAUUUUUUUUUAUAUUUAGAGAUUGUAUGCAUUUUGGGUAACCAUAACUAAGGUGCCUUAAUGUUAACGGACGGUUGUGUAAAGGAAAAGUGUUACGUUUUAAAUUUAAAAGUUGAUAAUGUUAUUAUUCUCCCUUUGUGGGAGGUUACAGUAAUUAUUAGUAGCGGUUAUAAUUUAUUACAUAAAUAUGAGUUUGAAUAUCAUGUGGCAAUGGCCACCUUACUAUAAAUAUUUCGGUAAUUACUUACAGUGUUUAAAAUUUGCAUGUACUAUUUACUGUAUCAUUUGAUACAGGAUGUCUUUUCAUAUUGGACUGUGGAGACUUCAAAUAUAUAAAUUUUUUUUUUUUUACUUUGAAACAUUAUGGUUAACGUUGGAUGUUGAAUAGUUAGAAAAGGUGCAUCGUUUUGAGAUGGACAGUUAUGCAGAGGUGUUAAACCUUAUAAUUUAAGUUAACUUUAUUAAAAUUUUAUUCCCUUAGGGAAAGUUUUUGUACUUAUAAGUAGGUAGCUAAAUAAGUAUGCACCUCAUGAUAAGUGUAAUGGGGGAACAACGUCGGUCAGCGGAGCAUUUUUUUUUAAUAUUAUUUUCUGGCGGAGAUUUAAAUUUAAAAUAAAAUUAAUAUUAUGUUAUUACUAAUGGGUGGUGCAGUGUGUGUAUAGUCAGGCACAUUUAUUGCUGAGGCGUUUCUUAACUUUUUUUAUUCAUAAAAUAUAAAGUUGAAUCUUAUCUUGGAGUUCAAAGGCCAAAUAAACUGAGAGUUAUUUGGUACUUAUUUCUUUUGCUUUUUCCCUUUUUCUCGACUUAAAUCGAGAUUAUUUUUUACCUUUAGCGACGUUUACGUAGUAGUCGGUUACUUGCUUACCAGUUUAUCGGUGAUUGUGUUGUGUGCUUGUCUCGAUGGAGGCAGGCGUUUUUCCUUUUAUGUGUUGUGAGUGGGAGUUCUUACGUUGUGUCCAGAUGAUACGGUUACGUCUGUACACAAACGUAUUACCUUUUGAUGUUUGGUGGUGAGUGAACGAUUUAAAAGUUCUCUUCACGUAGUUUUCUGGGUGCUGGCGUUUUAAACCAGCAUUCCAGCUUCACUGGCUGGUCGGAUUCUUGCGGAUUUAAACGGAGAAUUCUUAAUAGCAGUGUUGUACCCUUGUUGACGCUUUGCGGUAUGGCUUAAAUCAUAUGCGUGAACGUUGACGUUCUUUUGUGUUGUCGGACCGACAGACUUGCGUCGCCUGAGACGUGGUCUGUGCAGUCAACCUUUGUAUGUAUUAUGUUGUGUCGAAACGUUCCGUCCUGUGUCGUAGAUAGACGCAGCCGGUAGAUACGCUUCGUUGUCCUGGUGUUAUUGUCUGAUUUUCGUAUUCUUAGCUGUCACCGAUAUUAGUUAGGGAAAUUUCAUUUAGCUAUAAGCCGUCUUCCGUUAUAUCGCUUGGACGUACAGCCCGCUGUCUGGUACAGCUCGCUGUGCCGCCAAGAAAUAUAGACGAUGCGACGUUUUGUAGUAAUUUACUUAAAAAAAAAAAAAGGUAUUCUUAUCUGGUUUAGUGCGUGGGUUCGAUUUUGAUGGUUUUUUUUUAUUAUCGAUUUUAGAUUUCGAGCUGUAGCUGUUAUAUUACCGAUAUUUCCUGUAGUUGGAGCUGGAGACCAGCUCAAAAUUUUGCCUACGUCAAAAUUUUCUCUGGGGAAGGGAGUAUUGUAACAAUAAAAUUUCAUUCUCCUUAAUAAAGUAAUAAAUUUAAGAAUGCAAGGCGUAGGUUACGCCUUCUACCGCCCUCUGUCGGAAAUCGGCAGGAAGUCAUCGACCGUGAGCUGUCUGAUCCUGGAUCGGCCUUCCUCGCCAUCUAGCGUGGGAUAGCUGCACUCUUGUAUUCCUCUAUGGACUUACGUGGAUCAUAGUUGCCAUGUUGAAAAAUAGAAGUAAAUCGUCAUCGGGCGUUUGCCUUCCUUCCUUUUAUUCGUAACCAGACUUAAUUAUGGGUUUUUUUAAGCUCCGCGUUAAUCGCGAAGAGUUUAGUAUUAUAUUUUAUUGUUGACUUAAUUUCCAUUGAACGUCCGGAGCCGGCUGUUUGCGGUGCGAGCCGAUUUAGGCUUGGCAACACUAGUCCCGUCCAAAAUGGCGAAUGAGAUGGGAUUUCUUUUUGCCGGAGAGAGAGUUGAAGGGAUAUCGUUGGCCCAGGCCAAAAUCGGGCGCAAUCGCCCGUUUGAGUGAGUUUCAAUAGUGAUUCGGUUGUGUAUUUCUUUUUAGUUGGUUAGUUUCUAACGAAGCGUUGCAUAUUUUCCAGCCCCGGAAUCGGACGUGAAUAAAACCAUGUUCUGAUGGUGAUAGGCGGCGCCAAGCGUGCCCGGAUGUCGAAAUGGGUGCAAUUUUGCCUUCUGCAGGCCCUUUCUCCAUCAACGGGUUCACGCCGCGUCGCCUAAACCUCGCGCCGGCCGCGAGAGAUCCCCCUGGUAUCCCGGUAACUUGUGGGCAGCAGAUUGCUGCUGUUCUACCUACUCCCGACGUUUCACCCCAAGGCUGCUGACGUGGCAGUUGUGGUGUUUCGAGGUCAGAUCUUUCCACGUUUACUUAUUGACUGAAUGAACCGGCCUUUCGGUUCUGGCGCCCUUCCGUGUAACUACCUUAAUAUAUAUUGACCGCUGUAUCCGUUUCUACCAGUAAUGAUAAUUUAGAGCUCGCUGACCCACGUUUGUUCCCUCAAAAUAUAAACUCAACAUUAUUGUUCUCGUGAGCUAGCCCUCGGCAAACAAUUGUUACCGUGUAUCUAGGAUAACAAAUUAGCAUAAACAAUUUAGAUUUUUUUUCCUGAAUUCAAUAAAUACCUGGUUCCUCUUCAA